rnacentral:tRNA from 3 species
UCCUCGGUAGCUCAGUGGUAGAGCAAUCGGCUGUUAACCGGUUGGCCGCAAGUUCGAAUCUUGCCCGGGGAGCCA